rnacentral:pre_miRNA from 1 species
ACCCUAUCAGUAUUGCCCCUGCUGUCCACUGAGUUCAGAGUAGUGCAAUAUUGCUUAUAGGGUUU